UCAGGGAGAGUCUGUCUCCUGCUCUCCUAGAAGGCUUCUGCUGGUUGGUAGCAAACUAGCCUUCCUGUUCCUUGUCUCCAAGAGGCGUCACUCCAGCCUCUGCCUCUGCCCUCACGUGACUUUCUUAGUCUGUUUCUCUGUUUACGUCACCUUCUUUCUAAGAGAAGCACCAAGCAUACUGGAUUAGCCCCCCGCCUUCAUGACUUCAUCUUAACUUGAUCAUCUGCAAAGAGCCUAUUUCCAAAUCUCGCAUUCACAGGUACCGGGAGUUAGGACUUCAACAUCUUUCCAGGGACACAGCAGGGUUCCCAUGUGUGAGCUCACUUGUUAACCAUAAGGAGUAGGUGCUGUUGCACCCAUUUUGCACACAGGGCAGCCAAGGAUCUGAGAUUGACUUGCCUGGAUCACACAGCUACUGAAUGGUGGAGCCAGGCGCCGAGCCCCACCCGCCUGUCCCCAGGGUGUUUCUUCAACCAGAAGAACCAACCCUUCAACCAGAUUCACAGCCUCUCAAUACAGUCUAACAAAGGCUGAUGGUGCUUACAGGGUUGUCUGAGGUUGGUGGUCAGAUCAAGAGGCCUGUGCUUAGAAAAUCCGGAAUGAGAACCCUUGUGUUUGUACAAUGCUUCAUACCUGAGCAUCUUCCCGUCCAACAUCUGGAAAACCCGGACCCUUGGAGGCCUAGCCAAGAGCGCAGUGGCUGAGGGGAAGGACCACGGCCUGAAGCACCCAGCCCUGAAGGGUCUGGUCAGGGCACAGGCCGGGCUCUGACCUGGGACCCACUUGCGGUAGUCCCCAGGUGUGCAGGAGGCCACAUCUCAAGGAGCAAUUUUAUCUCCAAAAUUAAGGAUGCACUUUCCCAAGUCAACCACGCUCCUUUCCUCUGGUUCUCUCAUGACUCCAGAUGUAAUGAGAUGUGAGAUGUGGUGAGAGAAGGAUGAGACCUCAAGAUCACAUGGGACUCUUCACAAAUUUACAAACUGCCUGAGCUAGCGAGAAUAAAGAUACCAUUACAACUCAACCAGGUAAACCCUUCCUUUCCCAGAAGGGACUACCAACAGCUCAUUCUGCAGGGCCUCCUCAUUUCACUCCCCAGAUAUUCCCUUCCCUUCCUCCCAGCCCCCUCCUGUUCCUCUCCUGUUAACUCUGACCAU